GCCGAGAUCGCAUAGCCUGGUAUUGCGCGUGACUGGAAAUCACGUGUCCUUGAGACUCGGGAGUUCAAAUCCCCCUCUCGGCG
rnacentral:tRNA from 1 species